rnacentral:rRNA from 1 species
GAUGAACGCUGGCGGCGUGCCUAAUACAUGCAAGUCGAGCGAACGGACGAGAAGCUUGCUUCUCUGAUGUUAGCGGCGGACGGGUGAGCAACACGUGGAUAACCUACCUAUAAGACUGGGAUAACUUCGGGAAACCGGAGCUAAUACCGGAUAAUAUUUUGAACCGCAUGGUUCAAAAGUGAAAGACGGUCUUGCUGUCACUUAUAGGUGGAUCCGCGCUGCAUUAGCUAGUUGGUAAGGUAACGGCUUACCAAGGCAACGAUGCAUAGCCGACCUGAGAGGGUGAUCGGCCACACUGGAACUGAGACACGGUCCAGACUCCUACGGGAGGCAGCAGUAGGGAAUCUUCCGCAAUGGGCGAAAGCCUGACGGAGCAACGCCGCGUGAGUGAUGAAGGUCUUCGGAUCGUAAAACUCUGUUAUUAGGGAAGAACAUAUGUGUAAGUAACUGUGCACAUCUUGACGGUACCUAAUCAGAAAGCCACGGCUAACUACGUGCCAGCAGCCGCGGUAAUACGUAGGUGGCAAGCGUUAUCCGGAAUUAUUGGGCGUAAAGCGCGCGUAGGCGGUUUUUUAAGUCUGAUGUGAAAGCCCACGGCUCAACCGUGGAGGGUCAUUGGAAACUGGAAAACUUGAGUGCAGAAGAGGAAAGUGGAAUUCCAUGUGUAGCGGUGAAAUGCGCAGAGAUAUGGAGGAACACCAGUGGCGAAGGCGACUUUCUGGUCUGUAACUGACGCUGAUGUGCGAAAGCGUGGGGAUCAAACAGGAUUAGAUACCCUGGUAGUCCACGCCGUAAACGAUGAGUGCUAAGUGUUAGGGGGUUUCCGCCCCUUAGUGCUGCAGCUAACGCAUUAAGCACUCCGCCUGGGGAGUACGACCGCAAGGUUGAAACUCAAAGGAAUUGACGGGGACCCGCACAAGCGGUGGAGCAUGUGGUUUAAUUCGAAGCAACGCGAAGAACCUUACCAAAUCUUGACAUCCUUUGACAACUCUAGAGAUAGAGCCUUCCCCUUCGGGGGACAAAGUGACAGGUGGUGCAUGGUUGUCGUCAGCUCGUGUCGUGAGAUGUUGGGUUAAGUCCCGCAACGAGCGCAACCCUUAAGCUUAGUUGCCAUCAUUAAGUUGGGCACUCCAAGUUGACUGCCGGUGACAAACCGGAGGAAGGUGGGGAUGACGUCAAAUCAUCAUGCCCCUUAUGAUUUGGGCUACACACGUGCUACAAUGGACAAUACAAAGGGUAGCGAAACCGCGAGGUCAAGCAAAUCCCAUAAAGUUGUUCUCAGUUCGGAUUGUAGUCUGCAACUCGACUACAUGAAGCUGGAAUCGCUAGUAAUCGUAGAUCAGCAUGCUACGGUGAAUACGUUCCCGGGUCU